rnacentral:lncRNA from 1 species
UAACAAUGGUCAAAACAAACAAAACCCACAACCUUUCAGUGCUGCUAGAGCUGUCUGUCUGAUAUGACAGUCACCAGUCACAAACAUCUAAAUUUAAAUGUGCAGUAACUAAGAAAAAAUCUAAAAAUCCAUUUUUUUAUUUGGACUAGCUAUGUGUCACAUGUGGCCAGUGGCUGCCCUAUGGGACAGUGCGGAUAGCAUAUUGCCAUAAUUGCAGGAAGCUCUAUUGGACAUCACUGCUUGCAGGCUAGAAGCUGUCUUCGAGGAAUAAGGAGUCUUAUUGUGAAGAUAUGAUGCUCAGAAAUGGGACAGCCAUUUUACAGCUGAGAAAAGAAGACACCAACACCCUAAGAAUAGCUAAAUGAAGAGUUAGAAAGAGCCUGGGUCCUUGGUGACAUCACUGAGACUUUACAACCAAAUGCCCACUUUUGGACUCAUGUUUUGUGAGAUAAUUAAAUAUCCUUUUGUUUAAGUCCCUGUUCUGUUACUUGCAACUGAAAUCAUUCCUAAUUGGCAAUAGGAACAGCAGAGAGUUUGAGAAAGAAAUAGAGAUGGGAGAUUCAGCUAUUCCAUGUAUAGAAAAGUGAGUAGGAUAGUCAAAACUCAGAACCAACCCAGUAAUCUUUAGUGAUACUACAGAUUUGAUUAAACCACUUAUUUCAGAUCUGAAAGCAUUGCGUGUAUAUAUCUUUUCUCUUAAAAUAAAUUUAAUGGUCAGUAAGUCUCUAAUUUACUUCAUAUUUUACAGAUUAAAUCUGAGUCAUACUUGAGUUUUAGUCCUGGAUUUUAAAAACUGUUUAUCUAAAUCAGUGAUUAAAAAUGACAAGCUUUGCUACUUGCUU